CCUACGGGAGGCUACAGUGGGGAAUAUUGGACAAUGGGCGAAAGCCUGAUCCAGCCAUGCCGCGUGUGUGAAGAAGGCCUUCGGGUUGUAAAGCACUUUCAGUGGGGAAGAAAGCCUUGGGGCUAAUACCCUCGAGGAAGGACAUCACCCACAGAAGAAGCACCGGCUAACUCCGUGCCAGCAGCCGCGGUAAUACGGAGGGUGCGAGCGUUAAUCGGAAUUACUGGGCGUAAAGCGCGCGUAGGCGGUCUGAUAAGCCGGUUGUGAAAGCCCCGGGCUCAACCUGGGAACGGCAUCCGGAACUGUCAGGCUAGAGUGCAGGAGAGGAAGGUAGAAUUCCCGGUGUAGCGGUGAAAUGCGUAGAGAUCGGGAGGAAUACCAGUGGCGAAGGCGGCCUUCUGGACUGACACUGACGCUGAGGUGCGAAAGCGUGGGAAGCAAACAGGAUUAGAUACCCGAGUAGUC
rnacentral:rRNA from 1 species